rnacentral:rRNA from 1 species
CCUACGGGGUGCAGCAGUGGGGAAUAUUGGGCAAUGGAGGCAACUCUGACCCAGCAACGCCGCGUGAAUGAUGAAGGUCUUCGGAUUGUAAAGUUCUGUGAUGGGGGAUGAACACAAUGACGGUACCCCAAUAGCAAGCCACGGCUAACUACGUGCCAGCAGCCGCGGUAAUACGUAGGUGGCAAGCGUUAUCCGGAAUGACUGGGCGUAAAGGUUGCGUAGGUGGUUUAGUAAGUUGGCGGUGUAAUUCCGGGGCUCAACCUCGGCGCUACCGCCAAAACUAUUAGACUAGAGUGCGGGAGGGGUAAGUGGAAUUCCUAGUGUAGCGGUGGAAUGCGUAGAUAUUAGGAGGAACAUCAGGGGCGAAGGCGACUUACUGGACUGUAACUGACACUGAGGCACGAAAGCGUGGGGAGCAAACAGGAUUAGAUACCCGUGUAGUC